UAGAAUAACAUGAAUAAUGUCGGUGGCAGACACGUUAUUGUUAGGAAUAGACAACUUUGUGGCAUGCACUGGAUGUAUAAGAUAUACAAUUUGGAUCCUGUUGAUAGGAAUCAUAUUGCAAAUAGUGGGUUUUAAUGGGAACAAGUGGUCAGUUUCGUCAACAUCCCAACAUGGACUUAAUUUUCUUUGUCAUCAUCUUACAAAUAUAAAGAAUAUACCAGUUGUGUGUUGUGAUGUAUUUGAUACAGGUUGGUUGACCGCAGCCUAUGUUUGUCAAGUUGUGGGAUGUGUAAGCUCAACAGCUACAUUCCUGUCUGCGUUCCUUUUCGUGUGUUUUUCAAAGACAAGAGGACAAAAAUGUGUCAGACGAACAUUUCAGAUAUUAGCUUUUAUCACAGCUGCAAUUAUUGGUUCUAGUGCUGCCAUUUACGCAAACUUUUACUGGAGAAACCACAUUCUUCAAGACCAUCAUCUUGGCACUUCGUUUACCAUAGUUGUCAUAUCUUGUCUCGCUUUCUUAUGUGUGGGGUUGAUAAUAAGUGUGAAUGGAUGUACAGGAUAUUUUGAAGAAGCUCCAUCAUCUUGUCCAACUGCACAAACGCCUUUAAUUCCUUCUGCUCCACAAAGAGACAGUACAACGCGUAAUUCUUCAACAAGAAAACAAAUGCCAAUGUGUACUAUCUGUUCUGAAAAUCAACGUGACGUGAUAUUUAACUGUGGACACUUUGUAUGCUGCAAUGCAUGUGCAACAAUAUUACAAAACUCGAACAGAUAUAACUGCCCAAGAUGUAGAAGAACAGUGACGUCACAAAGACGUGUAUAUUAUUGAUUCAAUGAUUUGUCUUUGUACAUGUAUGAUUUAUGUUUACAUUUUGCUUUGUCCAAGUUAUAAUGGGUUUAUCUUUUCGUUGAAAUGAUGGUUUUCAUAUAGUUUUAUUUAAUAUUGACAUUUCAUGAAAAGUAUAUUUAUUUUUUUCUGGUCAUACAUGUAGUUUAUCAUGCCACAAGAUAUUGCCAAUGAAAGGAGAGAGUAAAAUAGGGUCACAUUUGACAUAUAGAAUUAAAAAUCCCAAAUUGUAAUAGAUCUGACCAUCUUUGUCUGGUUAAGACCUUAUUAUGUCAGGUAUCAAUAAUGAUAUGUUAAUCAACGUUAGGAGGCAAAUGAGUAACGCUUACGCAAACACAAUAAUAAGAAAAUACAGGAAAUUGGCCCAAUAGGUCGACCUAAAUUUCAAAGAAUACAAUGUUGACCGGACGUGCCUUCAUAUUCAGCCAUCCCGCACAGCAAAACGAACGCCUCUCUUCAGCAUGCGUAUUGCUGUCUGUUGAGGAAAUCCAUGAAUGACCAUACUUCUAUACCCCAGUCAACCCUCGGGGUUUCAGUUCAUAUGACAAAUCGGUAUUAACUAUAAUAGUCUCACAAAUCAGCAACAGUUGUUUUGUUUUUUUUGUCAGCGAAUGUUAAGGUUAUGGCAAUUCUUUUGAAAUAUCAAGAUGGGAGAAAUAAACUAUAUUUGUGGCUAUUAAUCUAUUCUUAUUCUAUAAAUAUCAUAUCCAUAUGUAUUUAAAAAUAUAUAUUUGCUUAAAAUUAGAAGCGUAAUACAAACAAUCCCCUGUGACAUGCUUUUAUCUUUAAGAUUAUGCCUGUAGAAAGCUUGCUUUUAAAUGGAAAACGUAAUAGAAGUAGAUUCAGUAAAUCAAAUGCCUGCUCUGGGUUGUGCCAAACUUUUCCUUUUUCCACAUGAGAAAUGAAACAAGUACAAAUCUCAUAUAUUAUCUCUGCACAAAGAAACUCAAUAAAGUCUUUACAAUAAGUGUAAUUAAUAUUGAUCAUCAUCAUACGCCUGUUCUGGAUAGCUGCAACGUGUCAAAUUAAAGGACGACUACAGAAUGCAAGGCAUCGAGACAUGGUAUAUAUACAGACAUUACGGAAUGCAAAUUUUAAUUGAAAGUAAUUUAUGAGUUCCAGAGACGGAUUUAAGAGGGACAGGGGGCUACAUACAUGGUUAAUGCAUAGAUAUUUUACAAGUCUCACUCCUAACGUUGUCUCCCCCUUUCAAAAUCCUGGAUCCGCAUCUGAUCAUUAAAAAGAAUAGAACGAAUUUAAAGUAAAUUAUGUUAAAAGUAUUAUUAUAAUAUCUGGAGCUAUGAGUAAUACUCAUGUGUGGUAAACAAGAGAUAGGAGCUAUGAGUCAGUCUCAUAUUAGUAAACAAGAAAUAGGAGCUAUGAGUCAGACUCGUGUGUAGUAAACAAGAGAUAGGAGCUAUGAGUCAGAUUCAUGUGUAGUAAAGAAGAAAUAGGAAAAAAUAUUUUAUCAGGUUUAAAAAAAUAAAUAAUUACUCAAAAUAUCCUCAAAAAGCAUAAUAUUUUUAUCUGUGCCCUGAUCAUCUGGUCAUGACAGGUUUUUAAUUUUUUUUAAAGAGCAUACCUCGUAUCCCAUUCUUUAUAGAAAAUAAAUAUUUAAACAUACAUAUGAUAUAAGGUUGAACUCCAAAACAAAUGUACCUACCUGCCUGCAAUAAAACUAUUUUCUAUGUUUAUUCAUAUAUGUUUAAAUACUGAAGUGCACAUAAAUUUUAGAUGGUUUGUAAAAAUAGAAAUAGUUAUGUCCCUGGCUGGCACUUUAGUGUCGGGUGUUGACAAUUUUAGGACUGUCGUUAGUUGUGUGCGAUGUACAAUCGUGUUGCUCUUGAUAGGAAUCAUAUUACAAAUAGUUGGACUCAGUGGCCAUGACUGGUCAGUUUCACCAGCGUCCCAACAUGGGUUGUAUGGACUUUGCCAUUAUGACACAUACAAGAAUAUAUCUGUCUUUUGUUGUGAUGUUUUUCAUUCAAGUAUGUAUUUAUUAUAUAUUAUAAAUUGUGAUAAAUGUAUUUAAGAUCUAAGGUUCGUUCUAUUACUUAUAGAUUUUAGAGUUAAAAAAAAAUGAUAUAAGAUACAGAUAGUUUAUUUAGUUUCCUUCAUUAAAUUUUAAUACAAAUUGUCAAAGCUUGAUUUAUCUUAUAUCUAUAUAUAUGUUAAGUCCUUAAAAUAUUGCUUGUAUAUCAUAUUUUAUCAGUACUUUAGUCCCUAAAAAUAUCGAUUCCUCUGUAUGUUAAUAAUUCUUAUCACUUUAAACUAAUUUAUUGCUGCUGUAAAAAUAUUCUGUACAACGAAAGUGAAAACAACACGAACGUUGAUCUUUUUGCAGCUAAAAAAUCAAUGGCUUUUAUGUAAACGAUGAUUUAUUAAGAUAUUUUGACGCUUGUUUGGACACAAAGCCUUAGAGAUUCAAAUUCUGUAAAAUUUAAGAUAUUGUUUUCCGAAGUGCAAAAAAUCAAGCAUUUAACCCAAUCUAAAGAUAUUUUUUUUAAUUUGAUUAUUUAGAAAACAAAAGUCUUAUGGGGUUUCCAAAAAAAAAACCUUAAAAAAAACAUAAUGCUAUUGAUUGAUUUCAGAAGUUAUCACAAAA